GGCAAAGUGGGUAUUCUACCAUCACAUCAGUUACACUUACAUCAGAUCACAGGUAUAUUUUGGUGCUUUGGUGCUAUUUUGGUCCCUAUUCCCUUUUCGUGCAUUGUAUAGACCAACAAAUAUUACAGAUUAAGAUGUGUGCCACUCCUGCUGACUUUGAGAAGACUAGUAACUUCUAAC